rnacentral:rRNA from 1 species
AUUGAACGCUGGCGGCAUGCCUUACACAUGCAAGUCGAAGGGUAACAGGUCUUCGGAUGCUGACGAGUGGCGAACGGGUGAGUAAUACAUCGGAACGUGCCUAGUAGUGGGGGAUAACUACUCGAAAGAGUGGCUAAUACCGCAUGAGAUCUACGGAUGAAAGCAGGGGAUCGCAAGACCUUGUGCUACUAGAGCGGCCGAUGGCAGAUUAGGUAGUUGGUGGGAUAAAAGCUUACCAAGCCGACGAUCUUGAGCUGGUCGGAGAGGACGAUCAGCCACACUGGGACUGAGGCACGGCGCAGACUCCUACGGGAGGCAGCAGAGGGGAAUUUUGGACAAGGGGCGCAAGCCUGAUCCAGCAAUGCCGCGUGAAGGAUGAAGGCCUUCGGGUUGUAAACUGCUUUUGUACGGAACGAAAGGCCCUGGGUUAAUACCCUGGGGUCAUGACGGUACCGUAAGAAUAAGCACCGGCUAACUACGUGCCAGCCGCCGCGGUAACAC